UACGUAGGGGCAAGCGUUGUCCGGAAUCAUUGGGCGUAAAGAGCGUGUAGGCGGCCAGAAAAGUCCGCUGUGAAAACUCGAGGCUCAACUUCGAGCUGUCGGUGGAAACUUUCUGGCUAGAGUCCGGAAGAGGAGAAUGGAAUUCCUGGUGUAGCGGUGAAAUGACGCAGAUAUCAGGAAGAACACCCGUGGCGAAGGCGGUCUCUGGGACGGUACUGACGCUGAGACGCGAAAGCGUGGGGAGCGAACAGG
rnacentral:rRNA from 1 species